CUCAGUUACCUUCUUUCUUUUUCAGAUAUGGUGAUCUGACUUGUAUAAGCCUGGAGUAUCCUCAGCAUGACAGACAGACCCAGACACAUCAGAAUUACCAUGAGAAAAAGUCAGUGCAUCACUGGUGAAUCCCACUGUCCUUUUGAACCACAUCUGCUCCUGGGUUCUGACUUGGGUGAAUGGCAGGGACAUCCGCGUCUAAGGGGGAGACAGAGUCAUUGAUCGGUAAGUUCCAAUACUUCUUUAUUCAUUCACCGGGGACUU
rnacentral:lncRNA from 1 species